rnacentral:rRNA from 1 species
GACGAACGCUUGCGGCGUGCCUAAUACAUGCAAGUAGAACGCUGAAGGAGGAGCUUGCUCUUUCCGGAUGAGUUGCGAACGGGUGAGUAACGCGUAGGUAACCUGCCUGGUAGUGGGGGAUAACUAUUGGAAACGAUAGCUAAUACCGCAUAACAGUAGAUGUUGCAUGACAUUUGCUUAAAAGGUGCAAUUGCAUCACUACCAGAUGGACCUGCGUUGUAUUAGCUAGUUGGUGAGGUAACGGCUCACCAAGGCAACGAUACAUAGCCGACCUGAGAGGGUGAUCGGCCACACUGGGACUGAGACACGGCCCAGACUCCUACGGGAGGCAGCAGUAGGGAAUCUUCGGCAAUGGACGGAAGUCUGACCGAGCAACGCCGCGUGAGUGAAGAAGGUUUUCGGAUCGUAAAGCUCUGUUGUAAGAGAAGAACGAGUGUGAGAGUGGAAAGUUCACACUGUGACGGUAUCUUACCAGAAAGGGACGGCUAACUACGUGCCAGCAGCCGCGGUAAUACGUAGGUCCCGAGCGUUGUCCGGAUUUAUUGGGCGUAAAGCGAGCGCAGGCGGUUAGAUAAGUCUGAAGUUAAAGGCUGUGGCUUAACCAUAGUACGCUUUGGAAACUGUUUAACUUGAGUGCAAGAGGGGAGAGUGGAAUUCCAUGUGUAGCGGUGAAAUGCGCAGAUAUCAGGAGGAACACCGAUGGGCGAAGGCAGGUCUCUGGGCAGUUACUGACGCUGAGGAGCGAAAGCAUGGGUAGCGAACAGGAUUAGAUACCCUGGUAGUCCAUGCCGUAAACGGUGGGCGCUAGGUGUAGGGGGCUUCCACGUCUUCUGUGCCGUAGCUAACGCAUUAAGCGCCCCGCCUGGGGAGUACGGCCGCAAGGCUAAAACUCAAAGGAAUUGACGGGGGCCCGCACAAGCGGCGGAGCAUGUGGAUUAAUUCGAUGCAACGCGAAGAACCUUACCUGGGCUUGACAUACACCAGAUCGCUGCAGAGAUGUAGUUUCCCUUGUGGUUGGUGUACAGGUGGUGCAUGGUUGUCGUCAGCUCGUGUCGUGAGAUGUUGGGUUAAGUCCCGCAACGAGCGCAACCCUUGUCUUAUGUUGCCAGCAUUUGGUUGGGGACUCAUGAGAGACUGCCGGGGUUAACUCGGAGGAAGGUGGGGAUGACGUCAAAUCAUCAUGCCCCUUAUGUCCAGGGCUUCACACAUGCUACAAUGGUCGGUACAACGCGCAGCGACACUGUGAGGUGGAGCGAAUCGCUGAAAGCCGGUCUUAGUUCGGAUUGGGGUCUGCAACUCGACCCCAUGAAGUCGGAGUCGCUAGUAAUCGUAGAUCAGCAAUGCUGCGGUGAAUACGUUCCCGGGCCU